rnacentral:rRNA from 1 species
AUUGAACGCUGGCGGCAGGCUUAACACAUGCAAGUCGAGCGGAGCGAGGGUGCUUGCACCUUAGCUUGGCGGCGGACGGGUGAGUAAUGCUUAGGAAUCUGCCUAUUAGUGGGGGACAACAUUCCGAAAGGAAUGCUAAUACCGCAUACGCCCUACGGGGGAAAGCAGGGGAUCUUCGGACCUUGCGCUAAUAGAUGAGCCUAAGUCGGAUUAGCUAGUUGGUGGGGUAAAGGCCUACCAAGGCGACGAUCUGUAGCGGGUCUGAGAGGAUGAUCCGCCACACUGGGACUGGGACACGGCCCAGACUCCUACGGGAGGCAGCAGUGGGGAAUAUUGGACAAUGGGCGGAAGCCUGAUCCAGCCAUGCCGCGUGUGUGAAGAAGGCCUUUUGGUUGUAAAGCACUUUAAGCGAGGAGGAGGAGCUCUAGGUUAAUACCCUAGAUGCUUGGACGUUACUCGCAGAAUAAGCACCGGCUAACUCUGUGCCAGCCGCCGCAGUAAGAC